rfam:Triticum aestivum genome assembly, contig: Triticum_aestivum_CS42_TGACv1_scaffold_131117_2BL
GUUAUACUCCCUUCGUCCCAAAAUUCUUGUCUUAGAUUUGUCUAAAUACGGAUGUAUCAAGUCAUGUUUUAGUAUUAGAUACAUCUGUAUCUAGACAAAUUUUAGACAAGAAUUUUGGGACGAAGGGGGUAUUUA